UACGGAGGUGGCAAGCGUUGCUCGGAAUCACUGGGCGUAAAGGGCGCGUAGGCGGGGAGGUAAGUCGGGUGUGAAAUCCCUCGGCCCAACCGAGGAACUGCGCCCGAGACUGCUUCUCUUGAGUCCCGGAGAGGAAGGUGGAAUUCCCGGUGUAGCGGUGAAAUGUGUAGAGAUCGGGAGGAACACCGGUGGCGAAGGCGGCUCACUGGCCCGAUACUGACGCUGAGGCACGAAAGCGUGGGGAGCAAACAGG
rnacentral:rRNA from 1 species